AUUGAACGCUGGCGGCAGGCCUAACACAUGCAAGUCGAGCGGCGCGGAGGACGGGUGAGUGAUGCCUAGAUAUCUUCCUGGUCGUUGGAGAUACCGUCCGGCCACGAGCGCUAUUUACUCACACUAUCAGAUGAGCCUAGGUGGGAUUAGCUAGUUGGUGGGGUAAAGGCCUACCAAGGCGACGAUCCCUACCUGGUCUGAGAGGAUGAUCAGUCACACUGGGACUGAGACACGGUCCAGACUCCUACGGGAGGCAGCAGUGGGGAAUAUUGGACAAUGGGCGAAAGCCUGAUCCAGCCAUGCCGCGUGUGUGAAGAAGGUCUUCGGAUUGUAAAGCACUUUAAGUUGGGAGGCGUUACCAACAGAAGAAGCACCGGCUAACUCCGUGCCAGCAGCCGCGGUAAUAC
rnacentral:rRNA from 1 species